UACAGAGGGUGCGAGCGUUGUUCGGAAUUAUUGGGCGUAAAGGGCGCGUAGGCGGUGCGGUAAGUCACCUGUGAAAUCUCCUGGCUCAACUGGGAGCUUGCAGGCGAAACUGCCGUGCUGGAGUGUGGGAGAGGGUAGUGGAAUUCCCGGUGUAGUGGUGAAAUGCGUAGAUAUCGGGAGGAACACCAGUGGCGAAGGCGACUACCUGGCCUGUUCUUGACGCUGAGGCGCGAAAGCUAGGGGAGCAAACGGG
rnacentral:rRNA from 1 species